ACAACCGCCGGGGAACCGCCCCAAACCAAGCCCCCGGAAAGAAGCAACUGAGACCCAACACCACACGGCCCUGAAACACCCAACCCUGCACACAGUCGGUGGUGGGGCCCUGGGGCCAGUGCUCAGCCCCCUGUGGCAGUGGUGUCCAGCGGUGCCUGAUCAAGUGUGUCAACACCCAGACGGGGCUGCCCGAGGAAGACAGCGACCAGUGUGGCCACAAGGCCUGGCCUGAGAGCUCCCAGCCGUGUGGCACCGAGGAUUGUGAGCCUGUCGAGCCUCACCAUGAGUCCCCUGACCCCAGGAUCUCUGCUGAAACUGUGAGCGGGACCCCGUCUUUCGGGUUCUGCGAGACGCUGCACCUACUGGACGGCUGCCAGCUGCCCACCAUCCACACCAGUGCUGCUGCUCAUGCUCUCUGCCCAGCCAUGGUGCCCCCUCCUGAGGCCAUCAGUGGGUCACCACCCACCGCUGACGUUGCCAGGAUGCACAGACCAACUGACAGACCUCAGUGCCCACAACGGGCUGUGGAGAAGCUCUCGCCCCCUGCGCCCUAAUGGUGCUAACCCUCUCCCUACCCAGCGGCAGGCUGGGGAACCUCCUCCCCCUCAA
ensembl:lincRNA